GCGUCGGUAGUGCAACGGUCCAAGCACGCGUCCCGGAAAGGGUGAAAUAUGGGUUCGAGUCCCAACUGACGCA